ACAUCACUGGCUUGAAAGUCAUGCAACGAUUCAAAGCGUCUUUUGCCUCUCACCAAAGCAGAUAAGUUUAUUAGGAGCAGACUCAGCAUAACGUUUCUCUCUAUAAAAACAGCAUCUGUUAGGGUUCAUAAAAAGGAAGCUGCGUUGAUAAAAACCAGAUCGAAAAAAAGCAAAGACCUACAGUGAAGAUGAGAAGCUGAUGACAUGGAGGAUCACGAUAAUGCAGCAGGAGCAGGAGGAAGAGAAGAAAUCAAAUCAUUGAAAAAAGAUGAGCUGACGGUAGAUGAAACUACAGCAAUG